rnacentral:tRNA from 2 species
GCGGCGGUGUUGAAACUGGUAGACAAGCAACGUUGAGGUCGUUGUGCUCGCAAGGGCGUGGGAGUUCGAAUCUCCUCUGCCGCA